AACAAACGCUGGCGGCGUGCCUAACACAUGCAAGUCGUACGAGAAAGGGUCCUUCGGGGCCUGAGUAAAGUGGCGCACGGGUGAGUAACGCGUGGAUAAUCUGCCCUUCAGUUGGGAAUAACUCAUCGAAAGGUGGGCUAAUACCGAAUAAUGCUGUGAGACCUCGGUUGAUCAGCCAAAAAGAGCCUCAGCUUGCAAGCCCUCGCUGAAGGAUGAGUCCGCGUACCAUUAGCUAGUUGGUAGGGUAAUGGCCUACCAAGGCGACGAUGGUUAGCUGGUCGGAGAGGAUGAUCAGCCACACUGGAACUGAGACACGGUCCAGACUCCUACGGGAGGCAGCAGUGAGGAAUCUUGCGCAAUGGGGGCAACCUGACGCAGCAACGCCGCGUGAGUGAGGAAGGUCUUCGGAUCGUAAAGCUCUGUCGGAUGGAAAGAACCGCAUAGGGGUAAACAGCCCCUGUGUCUGACGGUACCAUCAAAGGAAGCACCGGCUAACUCCGUGCCAGCCGCCGCGGUAAUAC
rnacentral:rRNA from 1 species